UACGUAGGGCGCGAGCGUUGUCCGGAAUUAUUGGGCGUAAAGAGCUCGUAGGCGGUCUGUUGCGUCUGCUGUGAAAACCCGGGGCUUAACCCCUCGGCUUGCAGUGGAUACGGACAGACUAGAGGUAGGUAGGGGAGAAUGGAAUUCCCGGUGUAGCGGUGAAAUGCGCAGAUAUCAGGAGGAACACCCGUGGCGAAGGCGGCUCUCUGGGACGGUACUGACACUGAGACGCGAAAGCGUGGGGAGCGAACAGG
rnacentral:rRNA from 1 species